rnacentral:rRNA from 1 species
GAUGAACGCUAGCGGGAGGCUUAACACAUGCAAGUCGAGGGGCAUCAUGGGGUAGCAAUACUCUGAUGGCGACCGGCGCACGGGUGAGUAACGCGUAUGCAACCUACCCUGUACAGUGGGAUAACCCGGAGAAAUUCGGACUAAUACCGCAUAAAGAUAUACUGAGGCAUCUUGGGAUAUUUAAAGCUGAGGCGGUACGGGAUGGGCAUGCGUAACAUUAGCUAGUUGGCAGGGUAACGGCCUACCAAGGCAAUGAUGUUUAGGGGACCUGAGAGGGUGACCCCCCACACUGGUACUGAGACACGGACCAGACUCCUACGGGUGGCUG